AAUAGAUAAAAAUAAUAAAAAAAGGAAUAUAACGAAAAGAAUAUAAUAUAAGAGUCAAUUGAUCAGUAAAAAAGUCAAUACACAAGGCAAUAAAUUGAAAUGGAUAUAUAAUGUAACACUACAAAAUAACAAUAACCGAACAUCUCAAGUACAAAGGAACUACAAAUGGAAAUAAGGGGAAAAUUAGGAAGGGGUAAAAAUGUAAUAAAGUGGGAAUAAAAGUGAAAAAGGUAAGAAAAUUUACGAAGGAGAGAGAGAGUUGAUUUUCUGAGAAUAAGAUUCUGGUAAAGAGAGAACUCUGUAUCAUUUUGUUUAUUCAGACCCUGUUUUUGCCUUUUGAAUCAUUUCAGACACCAAUCUCUUAUUGUAAGAAGAUUCAAUGUCUAAAAUUUGGACAUCAUUCCAUUUAAAAUUGUGGUCAAAGUUGAUACGAUGUUCAGUAAUGACAGAAGGAGAACCUGUCCUUUUUCUAUAAUGUCAGACAUAUGUUCUUUUAGUCUGGUACUCAAUUUUCUUUUUGUUUGAUCAACAUAGCUAGCUUCACAAUCAUCAGGUAAUCUUAUAAAUAACAUUGUUGUUAGAAAAAUGUUCUAAUUUAUCUUUACCUCUUUUAAGGGGUUAUAUACACACGCAGCACGAAAAAUGACGACAUUUUCACGAUUUUUUUUCGACAGCAAAAUAAAAAUUUAUUUAAAAACUAUUAAUGGUAUCAUUUAGUACAUGUCAAAUUUUUUUUGUUAAAAAAUAUUUUAAAAUAGCGGAACUGCAGCUGUUGCCCUGGAGCGCCUAGUUUUCAGCAUCACUUGCGGUGGACAAGAUUACUCGAGAACGGAUCAUCUGAAAUCAAAAUGGCGAGCGACGGCUAAAACUUGUUGGAGGUUACUCAG